UACAGUGUAGAAACCCAGGCUGUCCGGAGGUCAGGCUGUGCAGUGUGUUUGCUGUUUAGAGGAAGAUCUUCGGGGAGAUGCAGCCUGCCUGUUUAAAGAGGAAGCAGGAAGCAAAUGAGAAAACAGAUUGCGGUUGCUGCUUUUCCUUUGAAAUUUCAAGCUGCUCUAAGUCAAAUCACCCCUGAGUUUCUAAUGGUGCCUCUUGUGAAGGUGCCUUGUUUUACUUCAUUUUUCCACAACAGUUAUUUCGCCUGACAGCAGCAAAAAUGAUGUUGGCAGCAAGCUAAUGUGGUGACCACAGAUAAGAGAGAUGCUGUCCAGCUGGGACUUUCCCCUGCUCCUCUGUGGUGAUCUGUAUCCGAGACUAUUUGAUGUCGGCAUGGAAAAGCCC